rnacentral:lncRNA from 1 species
AUUUUGGAGUCAUAUCAAAGAUAAGUCCAAUGCUAAAAGUAUUAUUUGGUUUAAUUCUGAGAAUUUUAUUGACUUGAUUCUUAAAUAAAGGCCUGUAAUCCAUUCUCAGAUAAAUUUUGUAUAUGGUGUGAGAUUAGGGACAAUCAGCUUUUAGUGGGGGAAAUUUUCAUAAUUCAUCAACAGCCACGAAGGGGAAAUUCCACCACAGAGAAUUCAUAAAUGGCGCAAAAGUUUAGAGUUGAUCGGAACUAUUUCUAAACAAUUUGUCUCCUGGAUCAAAACUUCUUUUAUUUUCAAAGAGUCUGUGGCUAGUGAGACCUAUAAUACAAGUGAGUAAACAAUAGAAAAGAAAUAGUCUAAGCUUUCAAACCUGAGGCCUUGCCAUUAGUGGGUUAUGAAAUCUCCUUAGUGGUUUAAAGCCCAUACUUUUCAAAUCAAAUAAAAAGGACAGAAUAGAAAACACAAACUUUCAGAAUGUGGAUUCUGUAUGAAGGAAAAUGUGGCUUUGGAGUUUUAUAUGCAUGUGUUUAUGUGUUCCAGGAGUUGGUAUAACAUGGUUUUCUUAACCACAGAUGACAUUUUUAAGAGGGUCCUAUAAAUGGCUUGAGCAUUGGUGAUGAUAUAUCACUGCAUGGAAGGUGAGGGGACAUCUUUCUAGAGAUAAUUUCUCUGCUCUUUACAGCUUCUGGGCACAACUUGACAUUUGUCCUUCCUCUGUAUCCCAGACAACCAUGAUCAACCUCCAGCUACUAUAAAUUCCAGGGAGACUUAGAAGAUCUUCAUUCAAAAUUAAAAAUCAAAACCAGUUCAACCCACAAUGAACAAGUUACACACACACACACACACACACACACACACACACACACACACACACACACACACUCACACUUCCAUAAGCAUGUCUACCAUUUGAGUAAUUCUCAAUAUAUUCCCAUAUGUGAGGGUUUUUUUUUUUUAAUUCAUUUAUGAAAUUUUACCGGCCACUCCCCGAUUUGACUUUUAAUUUUAUUAGGGUCCUUUUUCUGUCAUCAAAUGAGUUCUGUUAAAAGUUCUUAUGUCUCAAAGC